AACGAACGCUGGCGGCGUGUUUAAGACAUGCAAGUCGCACGGGAUCAUUUGAGUAGCAAUACAAGAAUGGUCCAGUGGCGCACGGGUGAGUAACACGUGAAUCACAUGCCCUGCAGAGGGGGAUAGCCCAGGGAAACUUGGAUUAAUACCCCAUGGUAUCGCAAGAUUAAACGGUGGCCGCAAGGCUGUCGCUGCAGGAUUGGUUCGCGCCCUAUCAGCUUGUUGGCGGGGUAACGGCCCACCAAGGCUACGACGGGUACCUGGUCUGAGAGGACGAUCAGGCACACUGGAACUGAGACACGGUCCAGACACCUACGGGUGGCAGCAGUCGAGAAUAAUUCACAAUGGGGGCAACCCUGAUGGUGCAACGCCGCGUGGAGGAUGACGGUCUUCGGAUUGUGAACUCCUGUCAUCCGGGAGCAAGACCUGGGAGUUAAUAGCUCACAGGGUUGAUAGUACCGGAAGAGGAAGGGACGGCUAACUUCGUGCCAGCCGCCGCGGUAAAAC
rnacentral:rRNA from 1 species